CACGUAGGGCGCGAGCGUUGUCCGGAAUUAUUGGGCGUAAAGAGCUCGUAGGCGGCCUGUUGCGUCCGCUGUGAAAGCCCGGGGGCUUAACCCCCGGGUCGGCAGUGGAUACGGGCAGGCUAGAGGUAGGUAGGGGAGAAUGGAAUUCCCGGUGUAGCGGUGAAAUGCGCAGAUAUCGGGAGGAACACCGGUGGCGAAGGCGGUUCUCUGGGCCUUACCUGACGCUGAGGAGCGAAAGCGUGGGGAGCGAACAGG
rnacentral:rRNA from 1 species